rnacentral:rRNA from 1 species
UACGUAGGGUGCAAGCGUUGCCCGGAUUUAUUGGGCGUAAAGGGCGCGUAGGCGGCCCGGCGCGUCCGCGGUGAAAGCUCCCGGCUCAACUGGGAGAGGUCCGCGGAGACGGUCGGGCUCGAGCAAGGUAGGGGGUCGUGGAAUUCCCGGUGUAGUGGUGGAAUGCGUAGAGAUCGGGAGGAACACCAGUGGCGAAGGCGGCGACCUGGACCUGUGCUGACGCUGAGGCGCGAAAGCGUGGGGAGCGAACAGG